UGAAUGGGAAUUCGGGGGAUAACUGUCUCACCCAAGUUAUAUAAAAAUUACUUAGUGAGUGAAAAGUCUCAUAUAUUGAAGAAAGACGAGAAGACCCUAGAAAUUUUUUAUAAGUAUGUUAAUAUAAUCUAUUUUGUUGGGGCGACAUAGUAACAGUUAACUUACUAUAUAAUAUGCUAUUUAUAAAUUGAAAGAAUAAAUUACUCUAGGGAUAACAGCAUUAUUCGUUUAUGAGUUUGUGACCUCGAUGUUGGACUAGGAAAUAAUCUAUCUAGAAGAUAAAUUAAAAGGCUCUGUUCGAGCUUAUGCUCCUACAUGAUCUGAGUUCAAACCGGAGCUCCA
rnacentral:rRNA from 1 species